UACGAAGGGGGCUAGCGUUGCUCGGAAUGACUGGGCGUAAAGGGCGCGUAGGCGGCGAUCACAGUCAGAUGUGAAAUUCCUGGGCUUAACCUGGGGGCUGCAUUUGAUACGUGGUUGCUUGAGUGGGGAAGAGGGUCGUGGAAUUCCCGGUGUAGCAGUGAAAUGCGUAGAGAUCGGGAGGAACAUCUGUGGCGAAGGCGACUGCCUGGACCAGCACUGACACUGAGGCACGAAAGCGUGGGGAGCAAACAGG
rnacentral:rRNA from 1 species